ACAAGAAUCACCUGGAGAACUUGUUAAAAUAUAGAUUCUGAUCAGUAGGUCUGAAGUGGGUCCCAAGAUUCUGCAUUUCUAACAAGCUCCCAGGAGAUGCUGAU
rnacentral:pre_miRNA from 1 species